GCCCAGUUCAUAACCAAUGAUUAGAAAUAUCAUAAUUGCCUAUCAUUCCAAUUCAAUUAAAUUAUGAAUUUUUCAUUUACUUGGAAUUGUUACAUAGUUAAAGCCAUAUAACACCUUAAAAAAUAUAUUAAUUGAGGAAUUUUGCUCCUAUGCAAUUACUACGGUGCAUAUGACCUUUGGUCAUCUAUCUCAUUUGUCUUCUUUAAAGAAGACGUGUCAUUUGUGUAACAGCCCCUAGAAAUACCAAUAAUAAAUGACCUCACUAUGGUUUUGGGUUCUAUAUCUCAGUCCAAGGCAACAAGAGUAGUGAUUGAUCUCAUUGACCCUUCCUCAGUAUAUGACAAUGUAAAACAGAAACACUUCAUAUGGGUCACUUGUAACCGUUGCAUUUCAGGUUCUAGUGAGUAGUUUGCCACCUGCAAAACUGAAUAAGAGUCAGUGAAUACUGUUAAUAGCCUCAUUGAAACCAUUGUCCAGCAAAUAAAGGCUGGAAACCAGAGGACACAUGCUCUUUCAGUUACACAUUCAUUUCAGUAAAUGAUAAUCAUUCCUAAGCAGACAGCCAAGAGGUAUAGGUGAAAAGGAAAACCAAAAAUCUCUUAACUAUUACAUAUGCAUAAAUCAUAAUAAAGGGGCAGUUUCAAAAUGGGUAACCAGAAAGAUGGUCAUAUGCCAUAUAAAGCAACAAGCAGAGAGUAACACAGAAAAAACCAGAGAAACAGACUACAAUACAGAGAGAGCAUAUUGAUAGGGGGAUAUGCACAUACAUAUAUCACACAACAUUGCAAAACAACCAUCAAGAAGAAGAGAAAGAAAACCAACAUCACAUAUAUACAGAGAUUUUUUGACACAUGUUCAUUACUACCUACAUCUUUUCUCAUACACUAUCAUCUUGUUCUCUGUCUUCAUAACCAAAUUUCUAUACCGAGCAUAACCUCUUCAUAUAUGAUGAUUUAUGAAAAGAUAAUCAUACAAAAACCAGAGAGCUUGUAUACAAAUUCAGAAUAUAAGGUGUAUAAAGAUAAUAAAAGUGUAAACACUAUCCGGACCAAAGAGGUUUAAGGGAUGAAGGAAUUAUAAAGGAGUAUCAACAAAAGGAAGGAACCAACACCAGGUGCAUUAUUUUAAUAAGCCGAAAACCCAGGUUAGCAUUUUAUUUUAUCAUCAGCAAUCAUCAUAUUAUACCAUGUUUAUCAUUACAUAAUUUACAUCCUUUGGUGUAUUUCACUGUUUAUACCCACAACUUAACAACACACAUGCUUUAUUACAAAGAACACCAACAUCAUUUUUACCCACUAUUGACAAUAUGCAUAAUAUAUUGGUAUCUACACAAAAUACCAUUUUUAUCAUUAAAUCAAACCAUUCAACUCGACUUGUAUAAACAUUCAUUUAAUUAGCAAAUCAUAAAAGCAAGCAAACAUGAACAUACAUAGCCAUAAGGUGCGUCCAAAACCAUUGAUAAAGUAUUCGAAGUAAGAAUUAUGAGUAUGAAAUAUACCUUAAGUGACAUCACCAUUCCAAAAGCUUUGCUACUCCUCUGUUUUCGGUCUUGUGUAGACCCAAAUCGGCCCACCAUGUAGUCCUCAAUGCAGAUCGCAGCCUCGGCGCCUCGGGCAUCAAUCGGUUCCGACGAGGAUGGACUGAAAUUUCUAUGUGCAUGGAAAUGUCCCCACCUCCUUCACUGAUGUGUGCUUCAGUUCCACUACCACUGGCUCAUCACCACCGCAACUCCCUCGAGAUCAGAAUUGUUGUCGUUCUUCGCUGCCAUAGAUGGAGAUGAGAUGUUAAAGAGGGGUUUGGGAUUUUCUCCCUGGAACACGUGAAGUGGAGGGGAGAAUGACUUAGGGUACCCAAAUUAAAUCAUCCCCUUUUAUUUCUUUAAUUUUAU
rnacentral:lncRNA from 1 species